CCCCGGAUCCUUGAUGAACAACAAAGGAUACCUGAGACCAAGGAGUGUACACCUGACACCAGUGAGUCUACACCUGACACUAGUGAGUCUACACCUGAGACCAGCAAGACAUAUGGUGCGUCAUCGACUGUCGAUGGCCCUUCAACAACCAGUGAGAAUGAAGAAUCUCAAGCUAUGGACAAAUAUCUAAUGAAUUUGGCGAAGAAAAUUCCCAGUGAUUGGAAAAAUUUGGCUAUAUUCCUUAAUAUUAGUGAUGAGAAAAUUAAACAAAUCGAAAUAGACGAACAUGGUGUCGUCUGGCAAGGAUAUACCAUGUUGAAGUAUUGGUGGAAAUCCCGUCAUAAGAAGAUACUGUGGUACGAGGAACUGGCAAAUGCUAUUAUUGUAAGCACGGACAACAGAGAUCUGGCCGAAAAGAUAAAAAAGGAAGGCCCUGCUAUCAAUGUGCGUUAUCGUUAGAUUUCUUGUCAACGAUAUCGAUAUUUUGUUUUCACAAUUGACAUUUUAACGAAAGUAAUACGCCUGUAAAUUGUAAAUUGUUGCAGUUUCCUUACGUAAAACAUUUCGAAUGCAAGUUUUGCUCCUAGCUGUUUAGUUGUACAAAUUGUUUACAGCCAAGCUGAACUUCAAUGUUUUUUGCUUUACAAUACCAAUGUUUUAUCGCAUAAUAUACUCGUAUCAUUCCUACUUUAUUAUACAAAUAUUUUAACUAUAACUUUACUGUUUCUAAAUUUAACAUACCAAUAUACUAAACUGCACUUUUUUACAAAUUAUAUUGUAUCUUACUUACGGA